rnacentral:rRNA from 1 species
AACGAACGCUGGCGGCAGGCUUAACACAUGCAAGUCGAACGCCCCGCAAGGGGAGUGGCAGACGGGUGAGUAACGCGUGGGAAUCUACCUAGUUCUACGGAACAACAGAGGGAAACUUCUGCUAAUACCGUAUACGCCCUAAGGGGGAAAGAUUUAUCGGAAAUAGAUGAGCCCGCGUAAGAUUAGCUAGUUGGUGGGGUAAUGGCCUACCAAGGCGACGAUCUUUAGCUGGUCUGAGAGGAUGAUCAGCCACACUGGGACUGAGACACGGCCCAGACUCCUACGGGAGGCAGCAGUGGGGAAUAUUGGACAAUGGGCGAAAGCCUGAUCCAGCCAUGCCGCGUGAGUGAUGAAGGCCUCAGGGUUGUAAAGCUCUUUCAGUAGGGAAGAUAAUGACGGUACCUACAGAAGAAGCCCCGGCUAACUUC